CUGUGGUCCCACCUGAUCCCAUUCCGAACUCAGAAGUGAAACACAGUAUCGCCGAUGGUAGUGUGGGGUUUCCCCAUGUGAGAGUAGGUCA
rnacentral:rRNA from 1 species